CUCCUCCUGAGAUAGAGCAUUCAGGUUUUGUGACAUCCUUGAGAGGAUGUGUCUGUGUGUGAGGUGAAUCUGACUCCCUGGUGUGUUUUGUUGAGGGGAUGCUCCAGUCUGCAUCAGUACCAGGCAGCUCUUGGAGCCUUCAUCCAGCACAAAGCAAUAAAACCUCCUGGCUGCUGUGUUUGACUGGGAAUUUCUUCAGUGUAAAGGCUUAGGAGGAAGUUCUGGGACACCAUGAGCUGAGGCAUCUGAGGAAUGGGGACAGAAGGGACCCAAAUAAGUGCCUGUGCACCAAGCAGAGCAGUCAGGCAUUUCCUUGCUGUGUGUUCCAGCUGGUGGUGUUGUCUUCUUCUCACAGCUAUUUAAAUCAUGGAAGGAAGAAGCUCCAUGGAAUGAGGCACAAUGAGGGUCUGCAGGUGAGUCCUGGAGGUGAUGGCUGCAGAGGUGCAGGGAGAUGUGGGGCAUUGAAACUGAAGUUGAGGUUUAGGGCUGUGAGGUGCCCAGUGAGAUGAGGUAAAGGUGCCACAGGAAUCAGUGUGUGAGACAGCUCAGGGGCUGCUGCUGCAUCCCUUCAUCCCCCUUAGGGGAAGGAUCUGUGCUCACACUCAGCUAUGUGCUGAGCCUUGCUGUUGCUGGCAACAAACCCUCCUAGCAGCAGCAGGGCCAGCAGAUCCUGAUGGAGGAAAGGAAACAGCCCUGGGAGGCUCCGUUCCAAGGCUGUGGCUGUUCUCAUGCACUGAACUCUGUCUCCAGUUCCACACUGCAGCUCCCUGGAAGUCACGGCGGCAGAAGGACACCCAUCCACCCUGCACCAUACAUGUUUUCCGGAAUGGGGAUUUGCUGAGCCCUCCUUUCCCCCUGCCAGUCUCUAAGAGCCCCCUGCUGCAGUGGGAUUCACUCUUGGCCACGGUGACAGAGAAAGCCGCCCUGCACAGCGGAGCUGUCUGUGGGUUAGUGUCUGGAUAAGACUCUGCUGGCUCCUCUUUCCUUCCACACAACAUAAGCAGCUCUGGUUCAGCAGGGGCUGGGAGCUCAGCCAGCCACUUCCAGUCUGCUUUUGCAAACUCAUUUCAUUUUCAGGUUUUUCCCAUCUUUACAUCAGAGAUAACCCCAGUGCUUAGUGAGGAGGGCUGAUGGUGCUGGUGGUCUGGUGAGGAGCUAAGCAAACAGUAAAGCAUGGGAUAAAAAGGAGUUUAUGUGUAGAGGAAUGGGAUUUUAUCCAACACAUAGAUCCUACCUUCCCCUCAUACGUCUGUUUACUGACACCCAAGGGAAAAGCUGAGAUCUCCUGCAUCCACUGGUCACUGGGUGUAGUAUUUCUGUUUACUUACUUGGAGUAAUAUGAACAAUGAUUGAUCCUCUGCCUUGUCUCAUCCCUGUUUACCACUUGGCACUUGUUUGCUUCCAUGCUGAGGG
rnacentral:lncRNA from 14 species